UCAAAACGACUCUCGGCAACGGAUAUCUCGGCUCUCGCAUCGAUGAAGAACGUAGCGAAAUGCGAUACUUGGUGUGAAUUGCAGAAUCCCGUGAACCAUCGAGUCUUUGAACGCAAGUUGCGCCCGACGCUUCGGGCUGAGGGCACGCCUGCCUGGGCGUCA
rnacentral:rRNA from 1 species